GGGGCCGCUGGCCGGCGCCGCGCAGCGCCGGCGGGUCCAGGCCAUGCUGGAGCAGGCGCUGGCCGGCGGCGCCCGGAUCGUCGCCGGCGGCCCGC
rnacentral:tRNA from 1 species